GCGCGAGAGCUGCGACGCGCGGAUCUCAUUGCUUCUCCUCUCGUCCUGUUAAUUGCAAAACGAGGCGACUUCGCGCGAACAACGGCGAGGGGGAAUAACACCGAGACUGUUUGUUACCCUCGCGACCCGAGGAAAGUAGAACGUUCGAUUCUGAGCAUCAAGAUCGUCGUACCAUUUGCGAGGCGAUGUGGUCUCCGAGGAUUCGUGGAUGAGGAUGGUCGCGCGGCAUCGCGUUCUUACGGGGCCUCGGACACGGGAAAAAGCCCCGCGUCAGCCUCGACAAUUGCUGUCCCAUACAACAUGCAACCAGCCAACCGACCGACCGACGACGAGCAACGUCGCGAACGAACUGCUCCUUUUGCGGGGGUGGCGGAUUAUCGACCCGGGGGUUGUGACGAGGGGGAACUCGCUUUCGCACUCGGUCAUCCCCGUGGCUACCGUCUGCACCCCCUCCCUCUCCGCCGUUUGGCCAUGGAAACGAGGGCGAUGUCUUUGAGAAGUGUGGAAAAGGAAGUAAGAAAGUAGACGAUCGCGAAAGAAUCUCUGAUCUUUGAACGGACAUAUAUCUUCGUGAAUUUUUGAAGUGAAUAAACUCAAAGUGCCGCUGUGACUAGUAGCAAUAGUAGCCAUAGAAGUGCAGCUAGUUGGAGCUAGGCUAGUUCUCAACAUCAUCUAACGUGGAUCCAAAAAGUUCUUGUGUGACUCCGCGUAUCAAAGAGGCUUCCUAUCUAUUCUUUGGGGAAAACGCAACUAGAUUUUUGGGCCAAAUUUGUGAUUAUACCAGCAGUUAAAUUUUGAAUUUACGUUUCUCGCCCUCUUUGUAUUGACCAAGAAACAAUUCGGCGCUAGUAAUUCAGUUUGUUUCCAUUUUUUUUCCGUGGGCCAAGCUCAGAUUGGAAGGCCUUGAGGGCCGGAUCCGGUCCGCAGGCGGCCAAUUGCGUAUCUCCCUUAGGGCCUUAGCAGACAAAGGCUAUUGGUCAGUCGUGACUGUAUUACUGCCUGCCGGAGGCCUACACGCCAUUACAAAGACGAAGAUGGACCUUAGCAGAAUGGCUGAUUACUUUCGAGACAAUGUUUUAUGCAAGUCUUUGUUUUAAGUAACGCACAGUAACUGUCUUGUAUCUCAAGUCCUAAAUGUACGAGGACAACGAUUGCAACGAAUAAACAAAGGUUGUGGAAGCCUUCAGGCCAAGAUGCUCUCCGUGGGUCGCCCAAUCCCAUCGUGAGGUGGCGACCGAGGCGGAGCAACCCAAUAGAAACCGACAAUUUUUGGGGGGAUUUGAGCCCGGAUCUUCGGCUCAUUGGAACAGCGUAUCUCAUUAUCCCCACUGAGAUUAAGUAUCAAACGAAGUACGGUACAACUUUUUUGUUGUCGCAUUCUCCCCAUUCGUCCUACUUAGUUUCGUCGAAUUUUCAUUCCCACGGUUGAAGAAACGCCUUGCUCGGGAGAGAUUUUCGAACGAAGAAGUAAAAGAGACAGUUGUGACGGAUAUUUUGUACCAUUUGACGAAUCGAAGUUUCGUAAUGCGAUAAUGAGACCAGGAAGCAUACGUGACACAAACGCGUCGAUGUAAAGAAAAAUUACGGUGAAAA